rfam:Eutrema salsugineum unplaced genomic scaffold scaffold_6, whole genome shotgun sequence.
AACCCAUGGUGAGGGCACUGGUUUGUAUAGCUUGUAAAUCAUUCCCAUGCUUCCCCAAAGCUCUCAUUGUUGUGUUGGGUCAAGCUUGAGAUUUGAUUCUCAACUU